UGUUUCUAGUGGCGGACGGGUGAGUAACGCGUGGGUAACCUGCCUUAUACUGGGGGAUAACAGCCAGAAAUGACUGCUAAUACCGCAUAAGCGCACAGAACCGCAUGGUUCCGUGUGAAAAACUCCGGUGGUAUAAGAUGGACCCGCGUUGGAUUAGCUAGUUGGCAGGGCAGCGGCCUACCAAGGCGACGAUCCAUAGCCGGCCUGAGAGGGUGAACGGCCACAUUGGGACUGAGACACGGCCCAGACUCCUACGGGAGGCAGCAGUGGGGAAUAUUGCACAAUGGGGGAAACCCUGAUGCAGCGACGCCGCGUGAAGGAAGAAGUAUCUCGGUAUGUAAACUUCUAUCAGCAGGGAAGAUAAUGACGGUACCUGACUAAGAAGCCCCGGCUAACUACGUGCCAGCAGCCGCGGUAAUACGUAGGGGGCAAGCGUUAUCCGGAUUUACUGGGUGUAAAGGGAGCGUAGACGGCGCAGCAAGUCUGAUGUGAAAGGCAGGGGCUUAACCCCUGGACUGCAUUGGAAACUGCUGUGCUUGAGUGCCGGAGGGGUAAGCGGAAUUCCUAGUGUAGCGGUGAAAUGCGUAGAUAUUAGGAGGAACACCAGUGGCGAAGGCGGC
rnacentral:rRNA from 1 species